rnacentral:tRNA from 1 species
UGAACUUAAGAUUCAAAUAUAAAGUAUUUUUAAACUUUUAUUAAA